rnacentral:lncRNA from 1 species
UUUUUUUUUUUUUUUUUUGAGACGGAGUUUCACUCUGUUGCCCAGUCUGGAGUGCAGUGGCGUGGUCUCAGCUCACCGCAACCUCCGCCUCCUGGGUUCAAGUGAUUCUCCUGCCUCAGCCUCCUGAGUAGCUGGGAUUACAGGCACACACCACCAUGCCUGGCUAAUUUUUGUAUUUUUAGUAGAGAUAGGGUUUCACCAUGUUGGCCGGGAUGGUCUUGAUCUCCUGACCUUGUGAGCUGCCAGUCUCAGCCUCCCAAAGUGCUAGGAUUACAGGUGUGAGCCACUGUGCCCGGCCGGGAGUCUUAUUUUUUGUGGGCCCUGAAAUUUAAGGGAAAAGUCCUAAAAAGUCACUGAGCAUGUGGGAUGCAGGCUAUCUACAGUCUGAUGAGGGAGGUUCAGUUCAGCUUAACAUUCUCUGGGGUGUACUUUGUGCUGAGACUGGUUCUAGGGACACAGAUAUGAAUCAAACACUGAACCCAUCCCACAGGGGCUUACAAUUUGGCAAUGGAGACAUAUAAGUAAAUAGAUACUGACUCUACAGUGAUGAGUAGUUACAAAUUAGGAAGCACAAGGGUUAAUAGGAGCAUGGAAGGGGUUUUGUGCCUUCCUUUAAACAAACUUUUCUAUAGUAUUUACUUUUUUGUUUUUUGUUUUUUUUUUGAGACUGAGUCUUGCUCUGUUGCUCAGGCUGGAGUGCAAUGGUGCGAUCUUGGCUCACAGCAACCUCUGCCUCCCGCGUUGAAGUGAUUUUCCUGCCCCAGCCUCCUGAGAAGCUGGAAUUACAGGCACUCGCCAUCAUGCCUGGCUAAUUUUUGUAUUUUUGUAGAGAUGGGGUUUCACCAUGUUGGCCAGACUGAUCUUGAACUCCUGACCUCAGGUGAUCCACAUGCCUCGGCCUCCCAAAUGGACUACUCUGAUCGGGGAGGAGGUGGUGAUGAUAAAGGCAGCUGCUUUCAGCAACAAGGAGAGAAAGUGUGAAGCAAGAGGAAACUGGUCUUGGGAACAAAUGAAUCAUCUUCUUCAUGUAGUAGCUAUGCC